rnacentral:rRNA from 1 species
AUGAGGAAGGAGUUUGGGGUUUUUGGGAUUACUGAUAUUGGGGACAUGAAUUUGGCUCUAUUAGCUUUCUGGAUCAGUAGGUACUAUAACUCUGAGGAUAAGAUUUGGAAGAACAUCAUUGAUUCCAAAUACAAACCUCAGAGCAAUAUUUUUGCUUGUUCCAGUACUGGAGUAUCCCCUUUCUGGAAAGGGGUGCUCUCGGAAGCUCAAGCUGCAAAAGUUGGUUUCUCUUGGAAGAUUGGGAAUGGCAAGAGGGUUAGGUUCUGGGAGGAUCAUUGGUUUGGCAAUGGCACUCUAGCUACCCUGUAUUGGGACCUUUAUGUUCUAGCCAAUGAACAAAAUCCCACCAUUGAUAAAAUAUGGGAUGGCCAUACCCUCAAGCUAACUUUCUAGAGAUGUUUUACCCCCGAGCAGUUGUCUUUAUGGUUCGAGCUCCUAGAAAUUGCUAGCUCUAUCCAGCUUACAGACGAUGAUGACUCGCUAGUUUGGAAUAUGAAUUCCAAAGGGGUUUACACUGUUAAAUCUUUUUAUAAAUUUAUUAAUUUCAGGGGGGUGCUACCUGUCAACUCCCCUGCCGUUUGGAAGAUCAAGAUUCCCCGUAGAAUCCAGAUUUUUCUCUAG